AUAUAUAUAUAUAUUUUUUUUCCUCUUCACCAUAUAGGGUUGGACUCUUCGCUGCCGGGCAGAUUCUGCCAAAGCAGGUCAGAGGGAUGUCAGGAACUUCCUCACCAGUCUUGUGUUCGCGAGGAUAACUUCUUUUUGGGCUGCGCUGAUGACCUCCUCGUCCAAUUCCAAUCUCUGUGUAUUCUCAACCAGAUGUUUCUCGACCAAUCCAUUUGUUGACAUGACCAGAGGCAGUAUUGUUGUUGACUUUAAGUUGUAGAUAGUCUUCAGUUCAAAAGCCAGAUCAUGGUAUUUUGUCAACUUUUCGAUGAACGUUUUGCUCAGGUUAUCGUCGGCCGGGAUAGCGACGUCCAUAAUCACCACUGUUUUUUCCUUCUUGUUAUGAAGUAGGAUAUCCGGUCUGUUAUGUUUGACUGGUCUGUCCGUCGUGAUGAAAGUAUCCCAGUAUAGCUUGUAGCUUUCGUUCUCAAGGACGCUACUUGGCUGAUACUCAAACGGUCUUAAUGUCCUUUUUAUAAGGCCGUAUUUUUUAGCGAUAGCCUGGUGAUAAACCUUCGCCAUCUCAUUAUGCCGUUGAGUAUAAUCCGUUGGCGCCAGCACACUACAUGAGGAAGUCACGUGUUGGAUGGAUUCUAUUGCCUGUGAACACUUGCGACAUCUGUCUGGCUCCAGGGUACCUUCCGUGGAGUGCCUUGCUUCGCCACUCCUGGGUGAGUCCCUCCAUGGUAAGCUCAGGAGGUUCCAGCUGGCCCGCCAAGUUCAAUGGGCUCAAGUUAUCAUCUUCUUGAAGAAGUGCUUGGUGAAAGGGUUGAGUAGGCCCCGGCCUCCCUCAUUUCUCGGGAUAUACAACCUGUUCACGGAUGAGCGUGGAUGAUGGAUUCCAUGUGUUCCUGUCACAGAUUUCAAUUACCCUUUGCCUGAAGUGAUGGUCAUGGGACUUGAUUUUGAAUUCCGACGCUAUUUGUCGUGUUCGUUUCCCGACUCUGCUGGAAGGAGUUUCAGUGUUCAGACGUUUCUUCCAAGGUGGUGGUGUUUCCUUUCUCAUCGGUUUGACAGAGUCCGUGAUCUUUAUGCCCAACUCUACGCAAACUGUGAUUGCCCCUGCAUAUACAAGGUCUACUACCUCCUCUAUUUUUGCGAUGGUUGGCAAAUUCUGCUGGAUUAUCUCAUUCACCUCCUGCACCUUCUUCAGCAUGAUUUUGGAGCCUUUCAUUCUAGGUAUCCUAGGCCUCUUUUCAGGUGGAAUCCCAGCAUACAUCAUGUAUUUUUCAAGUAGCUUUUGUUGUAAUUUGCUUGUUUUAGGUACAGCGCUUUCUCUUGGUAGUUGACUUGGGAUGUCUUCUGCAGACUCGUCAGCAGAACUCGGUGUGGCGCCUCGUGGGUAACAGCUGAGCAUUAUGCUGUUCAGUUCGAUUUCGGUGAACUGCUCAUUAUCCAACAUCCAUCUUACUCUAUUGCUCAAAAGGUUGGCGUACGACUGUUUAUGUGGAUUGAUCUCGUUCCACACAUUCGUGAGGGUCUGCCUAUAAUUCAUGCCCUUGUUCCGUUCCAAUUCCUUUGCGAUGUAAUGAACACGUAAUAGGAGGAUGUUUUCCUCUUCGUUCCAGCGUGUUCUCCCAUCUCGUCUUGGAGCGUCAGCGGGGCGGGUAUUUAAUCCGUCCAAGCUUAUGCUCCUCCUCAAUCUGCCGAACAGGCUCGAGACCUGGCUUACGGUGCCGUCUCGGGGAGCUGCGCCGCUCGCCCCACAGCUUACCCCAACAGGCUCUUCCUCCGGACGGUUCCGAAGAGGGCCAGCCCGCUGCCCUCUACCGCCCUGGACCAUGCUUCUUGUUAUAGGAGCAACUAUUUCAUCAGUUCCCAGGCUGCUAACCUGAAAACUGGUUGA